UUUUAUCUACUUUAUUGGCAUAAUAACUUAUUUGACCUUUCAACUUUACAAAAAAAAAUCAUUUUAGCCCUCUAUUUAAUUUUGUCUUUAAAUUUUUUUGUCAAAUCACCCCAAAGUUAAUGGAAAAGUUAACAUUUUUUAACUUUGCUGAUGUGGCAUGUACGUGGAUUGCCAUGUGGAUGACACACCAACAUUUAAUUGAUUUUUU
rnacentral:lncRNA from 1 species